CUUGAUCGAGCCCAGCCUCAGCGGCCGAUCCUCGGGACGAUCCUGACCGUAGGUGGCAAGCAGCGCCUGAGCCUC
rnacentral:antisense_RNA from 1 species